rnacentral:rRNA from 1 species
AUUGAACGCUGGCGGCAUGCCUUACACAUGCAAGUCGAGCGGCAGCGCGGGGGCAACCCUGGCGGCGAGCGGCGCACGGGUGAGUAAUGCAUCGGAACGUGUCCUCUUGUGGGGGAUAACCAGUCGAAAGACUGGCUAAUACCGCAUGAGCACGAGAGUGGAAAGCGGGGGACCGUAAGGCCUCGCGCGAGAGGAGCGGCCGAUGCCGGAUUAGCUAGUUGGUGGGGUAAAGGCCUACCAAGGCGACGAUCCGUAGCUGGUUUGAGAGAACGACCAGCCACACUGGGACUGAGACACGGCCCAGACUCCUACGGGAGGCAGCAGUGGGGAAUUUUGGACAAUGGGGGCAACCCUGAUCCAGCCAUGCCGCGUGUGUGAAGAAGGCCUUCGGGUUGUAAAGCACUUUCGGCCGGAACGAAAUCGCGCGGGUGAAUAACACGCGUGGAUGACGGUACCGGAAGAAGAAGCACCGGCUAACUACGUGCCAGCAGCCGCGGUAA